CUGGUUUUGCUGACACAAGACGACACAGUACAUGUACAGUAACCACAGGUGAACUUGACUUCCAAAAGGGUGAAAGAUAAGAAUAUUUUCCUGGCAACCGGCUGAAAAAAAGAGAAGCAGCAUCACUGGCCACUUACCAAUGGCCUCCCCUGAUGGGAAUAUACGUGGAAAGGGAACUUCGAGUCACAGCACAGCUCUGCACAUCAUAGCCAGAGCAGCAGUUCAACAUGAAUGGCACCUCACUUUCCCCAGUAACAAGCUCCUAAUAGAGGCUUGGUAUUUGAAGCAAAAUGAUAUUUGAAGUAAUGUGAAGGGAUGGCACCCAGGCUCUCCGAAGGACUUCAGCAUGAUCCUACUUGAUAGUAGACAGCACUGAAGGAAGAGAGAUCUCAGCAAAGCAACACUUGGAGACUCUGGAUCUUUCUCAUUUUUCUGAAUCUUUCUUUGGAAGAUCCCCCAGGCAUCUGUGAGAACAACACACAUGAUGCAUCCACUCUCUGGAGCAUGAAUUGUGUUCAUGGAGAGUGCAUGUUCAGAAUAGCUGUGCAAGGUAUAUUUAAGAAG